rnacentral:lncRNA from 1 species
AGAAAUAAGGAAAAAGUUUAACUUUUAGGAAAAGGAUUUCCAUGAAAUAUAAGGAAAUAUGUCAACAAAGUCCCAGACAGAUAAAGUUCCUGUGACUAACUUGAAUCACAAAGAAGACCAAUGGCUAUUAGACAUCAGAUUUACUUAAGUCCUGCCGUUGGGAACUUACAUUUACUGAGUGUAUGUCAUGGCAUACAUUCAUCUCUACUAAAAUUAAGAAAUGCUAGUGAUAAAAUUGCAACUGUCCUUUUUUUGGUUUCUAAAUACUUUACAGACACCAACAAUAAACAAAUAAACUGAUAAAUAUAUAAAUAAACAAGAGCGUUGAAGAGUACUAUGGAAGAUCUAAAGAGCAAACAGCACAGUUGUGAAGUAUCAAUCACAGUAAGAGAGCAUGUGCGUUGUAUUGGCUUUUUAAAAUCUAUUCAUCAUGCCAGUGUGACAACUAUUGUGUGCCUCAGCAUCCAUUAGUGAGGAAUGAUGCACAUCAAUUACAAAUAAAACUAUAGCUGAGAGAAUAUUUUGCAUAGGAUUUUAACGUGUCCCACAAGGCAUAACCAGAGUUCAGACUUGAAAAUCAGAAGGCAUUAAUACACCAUUUAACCAAGCGAUCUCCAUGUUUCAGGAGAUACUAGACAUCCUAAAAAAUAGUAAAAUUAAUUUUGGAAGUAUUUAAUAACUAUCAUUAAGAUAUGAAAUGACUAGACACUAGGGGCAACAAAAGAAAGGUAAGAAAUACAAGUUUAAUAAACGUCUGUUGUAGACUACCCAAGGUAUGUUUUUAUGUACAUAAGAAGCUGAGAACAAUGGGUGAAGUCCUUUGAAGCAUUUAUUUACUAAAUAAGUGUUAUUUAUUAAGUAAACUGUAAAGAAAGAUAAACGGAAUGCUUUGUUUUUCCUGAGGUUCAGUUUCUUUUUUUCCAUGUAAUCAUGUUCCCUUUACAUUACUUAGCAGCAUCUGUUUUUACCCCAGUUCUCCCUCAUUCUCACUUUCUCACUCUCACUCUUUAGUUCUCUUGCUCUCUUGUUCUCUCUCUCUCUCUCUUUCUCUCUCUCUCUCUCUCUCUCUCUCUCUCUCUCUCUCUCUCUCUCUCUCUCUCUCUCUCUCUCUCUCCCUCUGUGUGUCUGUGUGUGUGUGUGUGUGUAUGUGUAGUGUGAUCUUAGGUGUUUUAUCUGUAUAUGAUUGUGUGUGUGUGUAGUGUGAUCUUAGGUGUUUUAUCUGUAUAUAAUUGUGUGUGUGUGUGUGUGUGUGUCUGUGUGUGUGUGUGUGUGUGUGUGUAGUGUGAUCUUAGGUGUUUUAUCUGUAUAUGAUUGUGUGAGUGUGUGCCUGUGAGUGUGUGUGUGUGUGUAGUGUGAUCUUAGGUGUUUUAUAUGUAUAUGAUUGUGUGAGUGUGUAUGUGUGACUCUGUGUGUGAGUGUGUGUAGUGUGAUCUUAGGUGUUUUAUUUGUAUAUGAUUGUGUGAGUGUGUGCCUGUGUGUGUGUGUGUGUGUGUAUAGUGUGAUCUUAGGUAUUUUAUCUGUAUAUGAUUGUGUGAGUGUGUGUGUGUGUGUAUGUAGUGUGAUCUUAGGUAUUUUAUCUGUAUAUGAUUGUGUGUGUGUGUGUGUGUGUGUGUUUGUGCAUGUGUGUGUGUGUAUGUGUGUGUUACACGUGUGAGUCUGUUUUCUUCUAUUGCUUUCCACCUUGCUUCCAUGAGACUGAGUGUCUCACUGUACUUGAAUCCCCCCAGUUCAGCGAGACGAGUGGCUGGUUGGCUAGUUCUCAGCAUCUGCCUGCCCCUCUCACCCAGAGCUAGGGGAUGCUGGCAUUGUCAUCCAUGCCUGUGCUCUUAUGUGGAAAGACUGAACUCAGAUCCUUCUGCUUAAAGAGAAAGCACUCGUGCCUGCAGAACCGCAUCCUCUGAUUCCCUUCUUCCCCCAAGGUGUGAUUGCCUUUUAAUGCUCUCUUUUUCUUCACUUGAUUUCAUCUUUCUCUAUAUACUUUAAAAACAGUGAGACAAAAUAUGAAUCUAGUAACUGUAUAGUUUUGUGACGUCUACAUAUUUAUUAUAUUAAUAUAUUAGCUCCUAAUAAUAAACAUGAACUUCCAUUGGUUUUCAGUUUAUGAGACAAUCCAACAAUUAGUUUUAAAUAAGGGAAAUAUAAAUUAACAUCACUUAGACAGUAUUUCUUCUCAAAAGAUGGUUACAAUAAUUGAAAUUGUUGUUUCCUUUAUUAAUAAUUAUGCAGUGGGAUGUUUCCCACUGAAACCUUAUUGGCAAACUCAAUUAUGUUCCAGAAAUACAUAGCAAUAUGUUUGCUCACAUGUUAAUACACUUAGCUUUUGGUUUAUUUAAUAAAUAUUUAUUGUGUACUUUUCAGCAACUGGUAUUCUCUGAGGCAAGUUAAUAUGAAUUCAUGAUCAUUUAAAACCUAGCUUGAUUGAGAAAAGACAGACAAUUAGACAAAUGCUUACAAUGAAAUUAAUUUAGUACUAUGCAGUAAAAAUACGGGAGUGGUGUGCUUAACUAUUUCUGAAUACCCCCCUCUCCUUUUCUCCCACCGCACCCACAUAUCAGCUAGUAGAAGCCUCAAAGAAUAAUGCAAUCCUCUAGUAUAGUGUCCCUUGAAGAGCAUGCAAUAGAAACUUCAUAUAGAAAGUUCUGUGCUGUCUCUUUUUCUCUAAAUUUUCUUUCCAAUCUAUAGGAAGUCUUAAAAAUCCCCCUGCAUUUGAUUCAGAUUUUCCUCUUCUCUGUGUAAUUACGAUUCUUCCUAUUGAUUUCAGUACUGCUUUACUCUCUGUUCAUGUCUCCACACAUGCAUGAAAUCUCCCCUCAGAACUGCAAUAGCUUUCGGUUUCCUGGACCCCGCCGCUUUGAAAUCUAACUUGUUAGCGAAAUCCAUUACUGUUGUGCGCACGCAGUGACAUGAAAUGUACCAAAGAAAUUUAACUGGAAUAAUGGACAUUUGCUUAGAUAUUGAAGGACAGAGGGAAUAAAUGUGAACUUUCAUGUUCUUAGAAGAGUCUGACAAGAGUGAAAGUAUACAUAGGUUUCCCAGUAGUCUCUAGUAUUAAAGGGUAAGAGUCUAUUGGUAGGCAGACACUGUAGUCAGGCAAACCCUGUCCAGUUUUGACCUUGGCCUUACUAGGAAGUUUGGCUAAAGAUCUAUAUUUUACUUAGAAAAAGGUGAAACUUUCUGGAUUUUGAAAUUAGACUUACAGUUAGGCGAUAUUUUAUAUUUUAACCCACUCUCUUUGAUAUAGUAUUAGAGAUAAGAUAUGUACAGACUAAGAUGUAGAUGUAUAUAUAUGGCUGUAUGGGAUAUUUCUCAUGAGAGUUGGGUCAUACAAU